CUGACGCUGAGGCUCGAANGCGUGGGUAGCGAACAGGAUUAGAUACCNUGGUAGUCCACGCCGUAAACGAUGAGUGCUAGGUGUUAGNCCCUUUCCGGGGCUUAGUGCCGGAGCUAACGCAAUAANCACUCCGCCUGGGGAGUACGACCGCAAGGUUGAAACUCAAAGGAAUUGACGGGGGCCCGCACAAGCGGUGGAGCAUGUGGUUUAAUUCGAAGCAACGCGAAGAACCUUACCAGGUCUUGACAUCCCGAUGCUAUUCUUAGAGAUAGGAAGUUACUUCGGUACAUCGGAGACAGGUGGUGCAUGGUUGUCGUCAGCUCGUGUCGUGAGAUGUUGGGUUAAGUCCCGCAACGAGCGCAACCCUUAUUGUUAGUUGCCAUCAUUAAGUUGGGCACUCUAGCGAGACUGCCGGUAAUAAACCGGAGGAAGGUGGGGAUGACGUCAAAUCAUCAUGCCCCUUAUGACCUGGGCUACGCACGUGCUACAAUGGUCGGUACAACGAGUUGCGAGCCGGUGACGGCAAGCUAAUCUCUGAAAGCCGAUCUCAGUUCGGAUUGGAGGCUGCAACUCGCCUCCAUGAAGUCGGAAUCGCUAGUAAUCGCGGAUCAGCACGCCGCGGUGAAUACGUUCCCGGGCCUUGUACACACCGCCCGUCACACCACGAGAGUUUGUAACACCCGAAGUCGGUGAGGUAACCUUUUAGGGGCCAGCCGCCUAA
rnacentral:rRNA from 1 species